AUUCCUCAUGAAGCUCCUGGCUUCAACCUGGCAAAUGCAAAGAGCUGGUCAACCUUCUUUUGCCUUGGAUCCCUUUGUACAGAAAUAGAGCCAAAUGACAACAUCCCUGCACAGGGAAUGAACACCAGAAGAUCUGUAAUCAAUAAUUCAACAUGCCUCCAGGAGAUGCAAAUUAUUACUAUAAAAUUAUGAGUUCAAUUUGGGCAAGACCUACAACUCUUUUCUUCACUAUUGACUCACCAGCACCGGAUAUACUGCCUGGAACAUAGAGGCACUCAAAGAUUUAUUCAGUACAUAAAGAAAUAAAAAUAAUCCAACAAUGUCAAAGUCUUUUGGGGGUAAUGCAUGUUAUAUAUUAUUUUCCGACUUUGAAUCUCUAGAACAAUUUUUAUGUUACCAUUUGGACAAUUAAAAUAUGAGUGUCCAGUGAUUAUUUACCAUUGUGGUACCUAAUUAGUACCUGCUCUUUAAUAUUUUGCCAAGCUGCCUCCCAAACAAGACUUGAAUGACAAGGACCAAAUACCUAAGUCCAUUCAUUCACUCAACAAAUGAGACACAGACACCGUUCUAGGGGCUGUAGCUACAGAGCUGUACAAAACAGGCAUGGUUCUCACCCUCCAGUGGACAUGGGCUAUCCUCAUAUUCGUUAAUUUAAUCUAUUAAAUUAAAUUAAAUCGAUUAAAUUCGUUAAUUUAAUCUAUUAAACAGAGCAUCAAGCUCUGUUGACGACAAAAGGUAGAUAACAAUAAACAAACAGGAAUUCCUGCCCUCCUGAGUUCACAUUCUUGUGUACAUGAGCUUAAAUGUGUACAUUACAGUACUUAGCCUCUAACGCUGAGAUUGUUAAUAUGUAUUUAAGGAUUUCAUGUCAAAACAUGUUAAGUUGGG